rnacentral:rRNA from 1 species
GGGUCAGUAGGUUGGUCGUGCCACCGGUACGUACUGGUCUCACUGAUUCCUCCUUCCUGAAGAACCGUAAUGCCAUUAAUUUGGUGUUGCGGGGAAACAGGACUUUUACUUUGAAAAAAUUAUAGUGUUUAAAGCAAGCUAACGCUUGAAUACAUUAGCAUGGAAUAAUGAAAUAGGACGAUCGAUCCUAUUUUGUUGGUUUCUAGGAUUGACGUA